AAUUUAUACCGGACGAAAGAGCAAAAGAUGGGAAGGGGAACAGCCAAUGAAAUUCUACAUGACAGGGUAUGGAAGAUUGGUGGCUAGACAGGGUUAAGUGAU